UACGGAGGGUGCAAGCGUUGUCCGGAAUUAUUGGGCGUAAAGGGCUCGUAGGCGGUUUGUCGCGUCGGGAGUGAAAACCAGGUGCUUAACACCUGGCUUGCUUUCGAUACGGGCAGACUAGAGGUAUUCAGGGGAGAACGGAAUUCCUGGUGUAGCGGUGAAAUGCGCAGAUAUCAGGAGGAACACCGGUGGCGAAGGCGGUUCUCUGGGAAUGACCUGACGCUGAGGAGCGAAAGUGUGGGGAGCGAACAGG
rnacentral:rRNA from 1 species